AAGGUCAAGGACAACGACGACGCCCAUCCUUCAGUGGCUCAGGCUGCUCUUCUACCCAGUCUACACAGUCAUCGAGCCAUCCAGCUGUUCAUACUCCGGCUGACUGUGUGACAGCUAUAUGUCGAGAUCGCGAUCUUCUGAAGAUACUGGGCGGACAUCUGGGGGCUCUGAGUGCUGAGGAGUUAGCUGAAGCAGUAGCGGCAGCAGCAGCAUCACAACACGGGGAUGACGACGAGGUAUAAAAUCAAUUUGUUGUAUAUAUUGUCGUAAUAUACCAAUAUUAACAUUGUUAGUAUAUAUUUGUAACUUGUUUUAUUAUUUUGUUAAUUACAGGGUGAUCAAGGAGGCGGUGAUGCUUGACGUACC
rnacentral:lncRNA from 1 species